UGGGGAAUUUUGGACAAUGGGCGAAAGCCUGAUCCAGCAAUGCCGCGUGUGUGAAGAAGGCCUUCGGGUUGUAAAGCACUUUUGUCCGGAAAGAAAUCCUUGGCUCUAAUACAGUCGGGGGAUGACGGUACCGGAAGAAUAAGCACCGGCUAACUACGUGCCAGCAGCCGCGGUAAUACGUAGGGUGCAAGCGUUAAUCGGAAUUACUGGGCGUAAAGCGUGCGCAGGCGGUUUGCUAAGACCGAUGUGAAAUCCCCGGGCUCAACCUGGGAACUGCAUUGGUGACUGGCAGGCUAGAGUAUGGCAGAGGGGGGUAGAAUUCCACGUGUAGCAGUGAAAUGCGUAGAGAUGUGGAGGAAUACCGAUGGCGAAGGCAGCCUCCUGGGCCAAUACUGACGCUCAUGCACGAAAGCGUGGGGAGCAAAACAGGAUUAGAUACCCUGGUAGUCCACGCCCUAAAACGAUGUCAACUAGUUGUUGGGGAUUCAUUUCCUUAGUAACGUAGCUAACGCGUGAAGUUGACCGCCUGGGGAGUACGGUCGCAAGAUUAAAACUCAAAUGAAUUGACGGGGUCAUA
rnacentral:rRNA from 1 species